GACGAACGCUGGCGGCGUGCUUAACACAUGCAAGUCGAACGGAGCGAAUGAAAGCUUGCUUUUAUAAGCUUAGUGGCAAACGGGUGAGUAACACGUAGGCAACCUGCCGACAGGAUGGGGACAACAUUCCGAAAGGAAUGCUAAUACCGAAUGAAGCGCAGGAGAGGCAUCUCUCCUGCGUGAAAGAUGGCCUCUAUAUAUAAGCUAUCACCUGUCGAUGGGCCUGCGUCUGAUUAGCUGGUAGGUGAGGUAACGGCUCACCUAGGCGACGAUCAGUAGCCGGUCUGAGAGGAUGAACGGCCACAUUGGGACUGAGACACGGCCCAGACUCCUACGGGAGGCAGCAGUGGGGAAUCUUCCGCAAUGGGCGCAAGCCUGACGGAGCAACGCCGCGUGAGUGAAGAAGGUCUUCGGAUCGUAAAGCUCUGUUGAUGGGGACGAACGUGCCUAAUGCGAAUAGUAUUAGG
rnacentral:rRNA from 1 species